rnacentral:rRNA from 1 species
UAGCUAACGCGUGAAGUUGACCGCCUGGGGAGUACGGUCGCAAGAUUAAAACUCAAAGGAAUUGACGGGGACCCGCACAAGCGGUGGAUGAUGUGGAUUAAUUCGAUGCAACGCGAAAAACCUUACCUACCCUUGACAUGGUCGGAAUCCUGCUGAGAGGCGGGAGUGCUCGAAAGAGAACCGGCGCACAGGUGCUGCAUGGCUGUCGUCAGCUCGUGUCGUGAGAUGUUGGGUUAAGUCCCGCAACGAGCGCAACCCUUGUCCUUAGUUGCUACGCAAGAGCACUCUAAGGAGACUGCCGGUGACAAACCGGAGGAAGGUGGGGAUGACGUCAAGUCCUCAUGGCCCUUAUGGGUAGGGCUUCACACGUCAUACAAUGGUCGGAACAGAGGGUUGCCAACCCGCGAGGGGGAGCUAAUCCCAGAAAACCGAUCGUAGUCCGGAUUGCACUCUGCAACUCGAGUGCAUGAAGCUGGAAUCGCUAGUAAUCGCGGAUCAGCAUGCCGCGGUGAUACGUUCCCGGGUCUUGUACACA